rnacentral:rRNA from 1 species
GAUGAACGCUGGCGGCGUGCCUAAUACAUGCGAGUCGAGCGAACAGACGAGGAGCUUGCUCCUUUGACGUUAGCGGCGGACGGGUGAGUAACACGUGGGUAACCUACCUAUAAGACUGGGAUAACUUCGGGAAACCGGAGCUAAUACCGGAUAAUAUUUCGAACCGCAUGGUUCGAUAGUGAAAGAUGGCUUUGCUAUCACUUAUAGAUGGACCUGCGCCGUAUUAGCUAGUUGGUAAGGUAACGGCUUACCAAGGCAACGAUACGUAGCCGACCUGAGAGGGUGAUCGGCCACACUGGAACUGAGACACGGUCCAGACUCCUACGGGAGGCAGCAGUAGGGAAUCUUCCGCAAUGGGCGGAAGCCUGACGGGGCAACGCCGCGUGAGGUAUAAAGGUCUUCGGAUCUUAAAACUCUGUUAUUAGGGAAAAACAAACGUGUAAGUAACUGUGCACGUCUUGACGGUACCUAAUCAGAAAGCCACGGCUAACUACGUG